UACGAAGGGGGCUAGCGUUGCUCGGAAUCACUGGGCGUAAAGGGUGCGUAGGCGGGUCUUUAAGGCAGGGGUGAAAUCCUGGAGCUCAACUCCAGAACUGCCUUUGAUACUGAGGAUCUUGAGUUCGGGAGAGGUGAGUGGAACUGCGAGUGUAGAGGUGAAAUUCGUAGAUAUUCGGAGGAACACCAGUGGCGAAGGCGGCUCACUGGUCCGGUACUGACGCUGAGGUGCGAAAGCGUGGGGAGCAAACAGG
rnacentral:rRNA from 1 species